ACGGCGAGUGAAGCGGCAACAGCUCAAAUUUGAAAUCUGGCCGCAAGGUCCGAGUUGUAAUUUGUAGAGGAUGCUUUUGGCGAGGUGACUUCCGAGUUCCCUGGAACGGGACGCCAUAGAGGGUGAGAGCCCCGUACGGUCGUGCCACCGAGCCUCUGUAAAGCUCCUUCGACGAGUCGAGUAGUUUGGGAAUGCUGCUCUAAAUGGGAGGUGUACGUCUUCUAAAGCUAAAUACCGGCCAGAGACCGAUAGCGCACAAGUAGAGUGAUCGAAAGAUGAAAAGCACUUUGAAAAGAGGGUUAAAAAGUACGUGAAAUUGUUGAAAGGGAAGCAUUCAUGACCAGACUUGGGCUUGGUUGAACAUCCGGCGUUCUCGCCGGUGCACUCUGCCAGCUCAGGCCAGCAUCAGUUUGCCCCGGGGGACAAAGGCGGUGGGAAUGUAGCUCCCUUCGGGGAGUGUUAUAGCCCGCCGUGUAAUGCCCUGGGGUGGACUGAGGUUCGCGCUUCGGCACGGAUGCUGGCGUAAUGGUCAUCAAUGACCCGUCUUGACCAACGGAC
rnacentral:sRNA from 1 species